UACAAACGGUUAAAUUUCCUGAAAGCGUGUCUUCAGGAACCUAAUAAAUGAAAGAGCAUGUAUGAAUGAGAAUUAGCAGCCGCGUAUGUGACACGCGGCUAUGAAAACGGGAAUUCCUUGUUUUGUUCAUACGGGUAGUAUUGCCAUGUGGCAGACCUCUGACCCAGAUUAACAACCACCUCUCAAAAACUCUCCGGUAUAAAAGGUCUGCAGCUUCUGCAAUCAUCGCCUGUUCAUACUUAAACACGAACUGAAGAGCAACUUGUGAAAUUUAUUUAAAAAAGAACAAAAUUUAUUCAAGAUAUCCAUCAGAAGAUUUUCAGCUGAUUUCUAUAAUGAUUUCAACGAGAAGACUCAUCAUUAUCUUCAUUGCAACUCUAGCUAUGUUUGCGGCCUUAAUAAAUGCAAAACCAACAACGAACCGCCCAGCAGGCGCCAUAACGGCGUAUCCUAUACCACAGCGACCACCAUACGCACCAAAUCCAUGGGUUUAUCCAAAACCCACGGUCGAACCAAUUCAUCAAUGAAAAUCAUAAAAUUGGAAGAUCUAGGUGGAAGAAGAAAUAUGUAGCAAGGAAAAAAUAUUUAAUGAAUAAAAAUCUGCAUUUUAAUAAGUACCAUAUGAAUUCAAUAAAAGUCAAUAGCCAGUUGGCUAGAGGAAGAUAGCAAAUGAAACGUGUUAACGCACUGUAAACUGUAAGUCAUUCAUGAGUUAACCAUGGUCAGGUACAAUUUACUAACCAGACCACAUGUGUUGUAUAUGAAGAGCAAAUGAAAUAAAAGAAGAGAGACAGAGAGAGACAGAGAGAAAGCAACUUCUUGGGUACAUGUAAUAUUAUCGGGUGUCCAAUUCGCCAGUCAUUACUUUUUAAAAGUAUUAUAGACUAUUGAAAACAAUCAAGCGAAACACGAUUUUAUUUAGUUUGCGUUUGGUUAGAUAUAAUAGUAUAGAUUGUAUAAUGUAUACAGAGUGUUAUGUAACUGCAAACAAUUUAUAAUCUAGUAAAAUCG